rnacentral:rRNA from 1 species
UACGUAGGGGGCAAGCGUUAUCCGGAUUUACUGGGUGUAAAGGGAGCGUAGACGGCUAAGCAAGUCAGAAGUGAAAACCCGCGGCUCAACUGCGGGAGUGCUUUUGAAACUGUUUGGCUGGAGUGCAGGAGAGGUAAGUGGAAUUCCUAGUGUAGCGGUGAAAUGCGUAGAUAUUAGGAGGAACACCAGUGGCGAAGGCGGCUUACUGGACUGUAACUGACGUUGAGGCUCGAAAGCGUGGGGAGCAA